AGGUAUCGUAUCACAGAGGGAGUAAACCUUCCAUUUCGUGUACUGCCAACUAUCAAGGAAUUGGGAAGGACUCGCAUGGAAGUGAACGUAAAGGUGAAGAGUGUUUUCGGGGCAAAAAUGUUUGCACUUGGAGUGGUCGUUAAGGUUCCAGUACCGAAACAAACAGCAAAAACAAGUUUUCAGGUGACAUCUGGCCGAGCAAAGUAUAAUCCUGCUAUUGACUGUUUGGUCUGGAAGUAAG